AGAAUUGUGUCUGGGCAUCUGA
rnacentral:miRNA from 1 species